rnacentral:lncRNA from 1 species
CACAUGUGCUAGGUGAGCGCUCUACCACUGAGCCACAACCUCAACCCUAAUAACGUGCAUUUUCUGAGUUCACUUACUAUGUACAAGGUAUUUCAGAGGAACCAAAGACAAGGCAGGAUAUUUCUUACCUUGAGUAGCUGAUCAUCUGGUGGCGGGGACAGACAUGCCAAUAACCCCAACUAAUCACACUAUAGAGGAAAAAUGGUGCUGGACUAGAGGUAGGAAUUAAAUGUUUGAGAAGAACCAGAGAGGAAGGAGUUAACUGAUCAGGGGCCUGGGCUGGGGGGACUUCUUAAUGACAUUUAAGCUAGGCCUUGAGGGAUGACAGAGGAAGAGGGGACACAGGGAAAGGCCAUUUCAGAGCAAGGAAGCAGUAGAGUCCUGAAAUUGGAUGGUCAUUUUAGGGAAGGGGGUGGCAGGGAAAUGGCAGGAUGUUGCAGAAGAGAGACUAGAGAGGAGGCUUGAGAUCAGAUCCUGAGGGCCCCAAAGGCUGUGCAAAGAAUGCAGGCUUGAUUCUGAUGGCUUUUGAUGAGGGAGGGGGAAGCCUGAUCGAACUGGUGCUUUAGAAGAUGAAUUGAUUGUAGAAUCAAGAGAUGGGAGGCCAAGGGAGCAGUUAAGAGGCUAGUGUAGUAUUCCUGGGGAGAGAUGAUGAGAACUUUCACCAGGGUACUGGCAAGAGGGGUAGAAGAGAGGAGAGAGAUGGUAUUAUCCAGGCUUGACUCCUGAUUGGAUCUGGGCGGUAGAAAGAGGGAGUUGAAGAAAUUUCCAGGCUUGGGAACAGUGCUAUUAACUAAGAUAGGAAAUGUGAUGCACACUGGGCAUGGGGGGUGGGGGGCAAGUUUAUGGGAACAGUCUGUUUAUGUUUAUGUUUAUGUUUAUGGGAAUAGUCUGGUCUGAGACCUAUUGUGUUAGAGGCUCGGUGGACAUCCAAUUAACGGUGAGCUUGGCAGCUGGGAAUUCUGCUUUGGGCUUAAGGAGAGAGGUCAGGACUAGAGAUAGAGAUGUGGGAGUCAUCAGCACACCCAAGAG